rnacentral:rRNA from 1 species
UUAUAUAGAGGAGAUGAAAGAAUGGCUUUAACAGCUGGAAUUGUUGGUUUGCCGAACGUCGGAAAAUCAACACUAUUUAACGCAAUUACACAGGCCGGUGCCGAAUCAGCCA